ACAGGUGACUGAUGCCCGGUGAGAAGGUGAGCCUGACAUAUAACCCCGUCAGCUGCAAUAAAGGAACCACGAGACAGGUGACUGAUGCCGACUGAGAAGGUAUACCUGACACAUACCCCCGUCAGCUGCAAUAAAGGAACACAAGACAGUGACUGAUGCCGAGUGAGAAGGUAUACCUGACACAUACCCCUGUCAGCUGCAAUAAAGGAACCAUGAGACAGGUGACUGAUGCCGAGUGAGAAGGUAUACCUGACACAUACCCACAUCAAUUGCAAUAAAGGAACCACGAGACAAGUGACUAAUGCCCGGUGAGAAGGUGAGCCUGACAUAUAUCCCCGUCAGCUGCAAUAAAGGAACCACGAGACAGGUGACUGAUGCCCGGUGAGAAGGUAUACCUGACACAUACCCCCGUCAGCUGCAAUAAAGGAACCACGAGACAGGUGACUGAUGCCGAGUGAGAAGGUAUACCUGACACAUAUACCCAUCAGCAGCAAUAAAGGAACCACGAGACAGGUAAUUAAU